rnacentral:rRNA from 1 species
UGCGUAGGCGGGCUAAUAAGUCAGUGGUGAAAUCUCUCGGCUCAACCGGGAAACUGCCAUUGAUACUGUUAGUCUUGAGUUCGGUUGAGGUAGGCGGAAUGUGUAAUGUAGCGGUGAAAUGCUUAGAUAUUACACAGAACACCAAUUGCGUAGGCAGCUUACUAGACGGACACUGACGCUGAGGCACGAAAGCGUGGGGAGCGAACAGGAUUAGAUACCCUGGUAGUC